rnacentral:rRNA from 1 species
UGGGGAAUAUUGGACAAUGGGCGAAAGCCUGAUCCAGCCAUGCCGCGUGUGUGAAGAAGGCCCUCGGGUUGUAAAGCACUUUCAGCGAGGAAGAACGCCUAGGGGUUAAUACCCCCUAGGAAAGACAUCACUCGCAGAAGAAGCACCGGCUAACUCCGUGCCAGCAGCCGCGGUAAUACGAAGGGUGCAAGCGUUAAUCGGAAUUACUGGGCGUAAAGCGCGCGUAGGUGGCUUGAUAAGCCGGUUGUGAAAGCCCCGGGCUCAACCUGGGAACGGCAUCCGGAACUGUCAAGCUAGAGUGCAGGAGAGGAAGGUAGAAUUCCCGGUGUAGCGGUGAAAUGCGUAGAGAUCGGGAGGAAUACCAGUGGCGAAGGCGGCCUUCUGGACUGACACUGACACUGAGGUGCGAAAGCGUGGGUAGCAAACA